rnacentral:lncRNA from 1 species
AUAAAUCUUUAGAAAAUCAAUGACUGCCAUUCCUCACCAGUGGGUUAGAGAAAAAGGGAACCUAGAGGCCCAGGAACGGUGAUACCUGGUCUGUGGUAUGGGAGAAUGAAGGUAAUGUCGAUUCUGUUUAAGCUCAUAGAAAACUUGAUAUAAAAUGUUUUGGGGCAGUGGGAAGUCAGAGAACAAUGAACCAUCACUGAAGAAAGAAAUAUUUAGAUAACUCUCUUCACAACUUCCUUGGUAGGGAAAGAAAUCAAAGUUUAGUAUACUUAACUAAAAUGUCCAACUUAACCGUCACCUCUCCUCCUCAGUUACACCUCAGAAUGCUUCCUUCGGAGCCAGUGCUUUUAGAGGAGCUGGUGAAGUUGUCAUCACAGGUAGAAGAAGAUUGGACUCACUUACAGUCACUCUUCAAUCAAAGCAUGUGUGUCUUAAAUUAUAUCAAAAGUGCUUUGUUGUAAAAAAAAAUAAUAAAAAACGUAAGUGGUUACAGAAAUC